ACUGAUUGAUGGUGCUUGCACCUGAUUGACGAUGGAUCACCAGUGAGUGGCGGACGGGUGAGUAACACGUAGGUAACCUGCCCCGGAGCGGGGGAUAACAUUUGGAAACAGAUGCUAAUACCGCAUAACAACAAAAGCCACAUGGCUUUUGUUUGAAAGAUGGCUUUGGCUAUCACUCUGGGAUGGACCUGCGGUGCAUUAGCUAGUUGGUAAGGUAACGGCUUACCAAGGCGAUGAUGCAUAGCCGAGUUGAGAGACUGAUCGGCCACAAUGGAACUGAGACACGGUCCAUACUCCUACGGGAGGCAGCAGUAGGGAAUCUUCCACAAUGGGCGCAAGCCUGAUGGAGCAACACCGCGUGAGUGAAGAAGGGUUUCGGCUCGUAAAGCUCUGU
rnacentral:rRNA from 2 species